rnacentral:rRNA from 1 species
GAUGAACGCUGGCGGCGUGCCUAAUACAUGCAAGUCGAGCGAACAGACGAGGCUCUUGCUCCUCUCACGUUAGCCGCGCACGUGUGAGUAACACGUGUAUACCCUACCUAUCAUACUGGGAUAACUUCGGGAAACCGGCGCUAAUACCGUAUAAUAUCUUGAACCGCAUUGUUCAAUAGUGAAAGACGGUUUUGCUGUCACUUCUAGAUGGAUCCGCGCCGCAUUAGCUAGUUGGUAAGGUAACGGCUUACCACGGCAACGAGGCGUAGCCGACCUGAGAGGGGGAUAGGCCACACUGGAACUGAGACACGGACAAGACGACUGAGGGAGGCAGCAGUAGGGAAUGGGACGCAAUGGGCGAAAGCAUGACGGAGCAACGGCGCGUGAGUGAUGAAGGUGUUGGGAGCGUAAAACUGGGUUAUGAGGGAAGAACAAAUGUGUAAGUAACUAUGCAGGGAUUGACGGUACCUAAUCAGAAAGCCACGGCUAACUACGUG